rnacentral:rRNA from 1 species
UGAACGCUAGCGGCAGGCCUAACACAUGCAAGUCGCGGGCAGCACGGGUAGCAAUACCUGGUGGCGACCGGCGCACGGGUGCGUAACGCGUAUGCAACCUGCCCCCAUCAGGGGAAUAGCCCGCCGAAAGGCGGAUUAAUGCCCCAUAGGCCCAGGGCGCCGCAUGGCGCUAUGGGUAAAGCUCCGGCGGAUGGGGAUGGGCAUGCGUGCCAUUAGCUAGUUGGGGCGGUAACGGCGCACCAAGGCGACGAUGGCUAGGGGGUCUGAGAGGAUGGUCCCCCACACUGGUACUGAGACACGGACCAGACUCCUACGGGAGGCAGCAGUGAGGAAUAUUGGUCAAUGGGCGGAAGCCUGAACCAGCCAUGCCGCGUGCAGGAUGACGGCCCUACGGGUUGUAAACUGCUUUUCCCCGGGAAGAAUAAGCCCCUCGUGAGGGGUGACGCCGGUACCGGGGGAAUAAGGAUCGGCUAACUCCGUGCCAGCAGCAGC